rnacentral:lncRNA from 1 species
UUUGGGGGGGGUUCGAGGGGAUUAUGGUGGAUUUGAGGGGUUCUAGGGGUGGUAGACCAUCUCCAUGGGGUUUUUGAGGGUCUCUAGGGGUGGUGGGACGUGGUUAUGGGGGAUUUGGGGGGGAUCGGGGGGAUUAUGGGUUUUUUGAGGGUCUCUAGGGGUGGUAGAACAUCUCCAUAGGGUUUUUGGGGGGCUCUAGGGGUGGUGGGACGUGGUUAUGGGAUUUUUGAGGCGGUUUGAGGGGAUUAUGGGGUUUUUGAGGGUCUCUAGGGGUGGUAGACCAUCUUUAGGGUUUUUUUUGGGUUUUUUUUUGGGGUGUUGAGCCUGACCUGGCGGAUGUUCUGCCCCACGUACUCGAUGACCAUCUCGUCGGCGGCGAUGGGCUCCAUGGCGAAGAGGCCCCACUCGUGGAUGCGGCUGCGCCCGAACCGCAACCGCUUCUUCCGGAACUUUGGGGGGGGACACGAGGGUCACCGGGGGGGGGACAAACCCACCCCAGGUCCCCACGAAGACCCUCGUGGUGGAGCAGGACCUCAACGGUGUUGGGGACGCCCAAACGAAGAGCGUCGGCGACCCAACGUGGCAACGCAACGCGGCGUCAACCCAAGGUGUCACCAACCCAACCCAACGUGUCACCAACCCAACGUGUCACCAACCCAACGUGUCAUCAACCCAACGCGUCACCAACCCAACGCGUCACCAACCCAACGUGUCACCAACCCAACGUGUCAUCAACCCAACGUGUCAUCAACCCAACGCGUCACCAACCCAACGCGUCACCAACCCAACGNNNNNNNNNNCGUCACCAACUCAACGUGUCACCAACCCAACGCGGCGUUGACCCAAUGCAUCGUCACCCCAACGCAUCUCCAACCCAACGCGUCACCAACCCAACGCGUCAUCAUCCCAACCCAACGUGUCAUCAUCCCCACGUGUCAUCAACCCAACGCACUGCCCACCCAACGCGUGGUCAUCCCAAUGCGUCACCACCCAACAUGUCACCAACCCAACGCGUCGUUGACCCAACGUGCUGCCAACCCAACAUGCCGCCAACGCAACGCGUCGUCAUCCCAACACGUCACCAACCCAACACGCCGCCCACCCAACCCAACGCGUCAUCAUCCCAACGCGUCGUCAACCCAACGCAUUGUUGACCCAACAUGUCAUCAACCCAACGCGUCACCAACCCAACGUGUCACCAACCCAACCCAACGUGUCACCAACCCAACGCGCCGCCAUCCCAACGUGCGUGAAGACGUGUCGUCAACCCAACGCAUCAACCCAAUGCAUCGCCAACCCAACACGUCGCCCACCCAACCCAACGUGUCAUCAUCCCAACGCGCCACCCACCCAACGCAUCAACACAAUUCAUCGCCAACCCAACGUGCGUGAAGAUGCGUCACCAACCCAACGCAUCACCAACUCAACGCAUCACCAACCCAAUGCGUCAUCAUCCCAAUGCAUCGCCAACCCAAAGCGCGUGAAGACAUGGGGCCAACCCAAUGCAUCGCCCACCCAACGCGUUGUCAUCCCAACACGUCGCCCACCCAACCCAACACGUCAUCAUCCCAACGCGUCGCCAACCUAACGCAUCAUUGACCCAACGCGCUGCCCACCCAACCCAACGCAUCACCAACCCAACCCAACGUGUCAUCAACCCAACGCGUCGUCAACCCAACAUGUCGCCAACCCAACGCGUCGCCCACCCAACGUGUCGUUGACCCAAUGCGUCAUCAUCUCAACGCGCUGCCCACCCAACACGUCAUCAUCCCAACGUGUCGUCAACCCAACCCGUUGGCAUCCCAACACGUCAUCAACCCAACGCGCCGCCCACCCAACCCAACGCGUUGUCAACCCAACGCGUCACCCACCCAACACACGUGAAGACACGGUGCCAACCCAAUGCGUCGUCAACCCAACGCGUCACCAACCCAACACGCGUGAAGACGCGUUGUCAACCCAACGCAUCAACCCAACGCAUCGCCAACCCAACGCGUCGCCCACCCAACACGCGUGAAGACACGGGGCCAACCCAACGCGUCGCCAUCCC